GACUUGAUGAUAUUCUGGACGGAACGAUACUUCGUAGAGGACUUCCUUCAGCCCAUAUGGUUUAUGGAAUUUCACUAACCGUACAUGCUACAGUCCACAAGAUGUUUCUAAUAAUGCAAAAUGUACUCUAUUAUGCAGAAAACAGGAAGGUAAUGUUUUUAUGCUGUCUGUGUUUUUAACGUAUUGGUCUAGGACAUCGCUCUUGAUGACUUUGUUACGUUGGGUAUUCGAUUUUUCACUGGGCAAGGACUAGAAAUCCACUGUAGAGACUCUCAAAGGUGUCCUAGUUUCUGCGAUUUCAAAGUACUAGUUCGUGCCAAAUGUACCAGUUCUUUCAAAUGGGGAGUCCAGUGGUUGAAACUGUGUGCCAAGAACGAUACAAUCGAACUGAGUGUCGAUCUUUGCGACAAAAUAGGUGAAUUUCUUCAGAUAUACGACGACUAUAUAAAUUUGCACAGUACUAAGUACGCAACCGUUCGGGUUCUCUGUGACGAUCUUGAUGAAGGAAAAUUCAACUUUCCUAUGAUUCAUGCCAUUCAAAGUCAUCCGAACGAUCAUCGUCUCUUGGAUCUGUUAAAACAAAGACCACUGGAUGUGGAAAGUAAGAAACUGUUUGUAGACAUAAUGGAAAGUUUUGGAAGUUUCGAGCAGACGCGGAAGGUAAUGGAAGAGUUGAGAAAUGGAAUUAUCGCCGACAUAGACAAAAUGAAUCUGGGGAAAAAUCUGUGUAUGGAACGAGUUCUUCAAGAUGUAUUGGAUAAUUUAGAAACGGAAAUUUAUUAUGAUGGUUGCAACUAAAAUGUGUUUUCCUAAGUCUGAACCUUGUUAAUUAAUAAUAAUGAUUUUUACUUUU